UACAGAGGGUGCAAACGUUGCUCGGAAUCAUUGGGCGUAAAGCGCACGUAGGCGGCCCAGCAAGUGGGGAGUGAAAGCCCUCGGCUUAACCGAGGAAGUGCUUUCCAUACUACUGGGCUUGAAUACUGGAGAGGGUCGCGGAAUUCCCGGUGUAGAGGUGAAAUUCGUAGAUAUCGGGAGGAACACCAGUGGCGAAGGCGGCGACCUGGACAGAUAUUGACGCUGAGGUGCGAAAGCGUGGGGAGCAAACAGG
rnacentral:rRNA from 2 species